rnacentral:rRNA from 1 species
AUGUGGGGGCGCGUCAGCGCACCCACUGGGUGUAGUCCCCGAGAUUCGGGCCGACUGCUGAGCAGUCGGGUCGGAUCUUCCUUGACGACUUCUUCUUACUGUUCUUUCUUUUUCUGCCGUCCCUGCAGUAGCCAACGCCAGUCUGAGGGCACAGCUGGGAGAGUCUCAGACUGCCCUUCGUGCCAAGGAUGCCGAGCUCGCCGCCUUGGUGCAGGAGCGCGACCGCCUGGUCAAGAAGCUGGUCGACCAGGAGGAAAGCCACAAGGCGGCCCUGAAGGUGGUGCAGGACCGCGAAGCCGCCCUCCAGGCCGAGUAUGA